rnacentral:rRNA from 1 species
UUCCGGUUGAUCCUGCCGGACCCCACUGCUAUCGGGAUAGGACUAAGACAUGCUAGUUGACGCGCCAACACGGGGCGCACAGCUCAGUAACACGUGGCUAAUCUGCCCUUGGGAUAGGAACACCCCCGGGAAACUGGGGCUAAUUCCCAAUAGGUGAAGAACUCUGGAAUGAGUCUCCACCAGAAAAGACGGUCGCCCAAGGAUGAGGCCGCGACCGAUCAGGUUGUUGGUGAGGUAAUGGCUCACCAAGCCUUUUACCGGUGCGGGCCGUGAGAGCGGGAGCCCGGAGAUGGGCACUGAGACAAGGGCCCAGGCCCUACGGGGCGCAGCAGUCGCGAAAACUUUGCAAUACACGAAAGUGUGACAGGGCUAUCCCGAGUGCCAUCCGCUGAGGAAGGCUUUUACCCAGUCUAGAAAGCUGGGGGAAUAAGGAGAGGGCAAGUCUGGUGUCAGCCGCCGCGGUAAUACCAGCUCUCCGAGUGGUGUGGAUGUUUAUUGGGCCUAAAGCAUCCGUAGCUGGCUAAGUUAGUCCCUUGUUAAAUCCACCGAAUUAAUCGUUGGAUUGCGGGGGAUACUGCUUGGCUAGGGGACGAGAGAGGCAGACGGUAUUUUCGGGGUAGGGGUGAAAUCCUAUAAUCCCGGGAAGACCACCAGUGGCGAAGGCUGUCUGCUAGAACGCGCCCGACGGUGAGGGAUGAAAGCUGGGGGAGCGAACCGGAUUAGAUACCCGGGUAGUCCCAGCUGUAAACGAUGCAGGCUAGGUGUUUGGACGGCCACGUGCCGUUCUAGUGCCGCAGGGAAGCUGUUAAGCCUGCCGCCUGGGAAGUACGUACGCAAGUAUGAAACUUAAAGGAAUUGGCGGGGGAGCACCACAAGGGGUGAAGCCUGCGGUUCAAUUGGAUUCAACGCCGGA